rnacentral:rRNA from 1 species
GUGGGGAAUAUUGGACAAUGGGGGCAACCCUGAUCCAGCCAUGCCGCGUGAGUGAUGACGGCCUUAGGGUUGUAAAGCUCUUUUACCCGGGACGAUAAUGACGGUACCGGGUGAAUAAGCCCCGGCUAACUUCGUGCCAGCAGCCGCGGUAAUACGAAGGGGGCUAGCGUUGCUCGGAAUCACUGGGCGUAAAGGGCGCGUAGGCGGCUUGCCAAGUCGGGGGUGAAAGCCCGUGGCUCAACCACGGAAUGGCCUUCGAUACUGGCAGGCUUGAGACCGGAAGAGGACAGCGGAACUGCGAGUGUAGAGGUGAAAUUCGUAGAUAUUCGCAAGAACACCAGUGGCGAAGGCGGCUGUCUGGUCCGGUUCUGACGCUGAGGCGCGAAAGCGUGGGGAGCAAACAGGAUUAGAAACCCCAGUAGUCC